CGAAACACGAGGUGAUGGCGGCGGAUGAAUGGCACGACAACGGGCCUCAGAAUCUCGUCACUGUAUCUUUAUGCAUUCAAAUUGACAUCAAUAAAAUCCAAUUGUGUUCGUUGUCUGCAGCGUAUACCUGCCCUUACCAUAACCUCACCGCCACCAUGGGGCACUCUGUUCACAACGUUGACAUCAGCAAACCGCUGUCGUACAGGACGCCAUACACGCUGUCUGCCAUCUGCCCGGUACAUUUGAAACCUGGGAUUCAUCAGUGAAGAGCACACUUCUCCAGCGUGCCAGUGGCCAUGGAAGGUGAGCAUUUUGAUCACUGCAGAUGGGUACGACGUGAACUGCAGUCAGGUCAAGACCCUGGUGACUACGACAAGCACGCUGAUGAGCUUCCCCGAGACAACAGUUUCUGACCGUUUGUGCUGAAAUGAUUCGGUUGUUCCAACCCACAGUUUCAUCAUGUAACGUGUACGCUAAGUAUCGGGACGCAAGUACGGGGAGCGAAUGUAAUAAAUAACGUAACAUGGAACAAAACAAAAUACAGGAGUAGCAUACAGACAGAAACACAGGAACAGAAUCAAUAACACCUCGGGGAAAGAACCAACGGGAGUGACAGAUAUAGAGGAGUCCAGGGGAGUCUCAUCACGCGCAGGUGUGAACCAACGGGAGUGACAGAUAUAGGGGAGUCCAGGGGAGUCUCAUCACGCGCAGGUGUGAACCAACGGGAGUGACAGAUAUAGGGGAGUCCAGGGGAGUCUCAUCACGCGCAGGUGUGAACCAACGGGAGUGACAGAUAUAGGGGAGUCCAGGGGAGUCUCAUGAUGCGCAGGUGUGAACUAAUGGGAGUGACAGAUAUAGGGGAGUCCAGGGGAGUCUCAUGAUGCGCAGGUGUGAACCAACGGGAGUGACAGAUAUAGGGGAGUCCAGGGGAGUCUGGACGGCGGCAGGUGUGUGUAACGAUGGCGGCAGGUGUGUGUAACGAUGGUGACAGGUGUGUGUAACGAUGGUGACAGGUGUGCGUAACGAUGGUGACAGGUGUGCGUAACGAUGGUGACAGGUGUGCGUAACGAUGGUGACAGGUGUGUGUAACGAUGGUGACAGGUGUGCGUAACGAUGGUGACAGGUGUGCGUAACGAUGGUGACAGGUGUGUGUAACGAUGGUGACAGGUGUGUGUAACGAUGGUGACAGGUGUGUGUAACGAUGGUGACAGGUGUGUGUAACGAUGGUGACAGGUGUGUGUAACGAUGGUGACAGGUGUGUGUAACGAUGGUGACAGGUGUGCGUAACGGUGGUGACAGGUGUGCGUAGUAAUGAGUAAACUGGCCAAAGUGAGCGCCGGGGAUUAGACCUGAUACAUCAGCUGUCCACGUGGCUGGUCUCAGACGAUCAGGUGAAGAAUCCAGAUGUGGCGAUCUGUCAUGUUCUGACCUUAGUUCCUCUUUGUUUUAGUAUGGUCAAGGGUGUGAGUUGGGUGCGUUUGUCUAUGUUCCGUUUUCUAUAUUGUGUUUUCGCGUUUGGCCUGGUAUGGUUCUCAAUCAGAGGCAGGUGUCGUUAGUUGUCUCUGAUUGACAAUCAUACUUAGGUAGCCUUUUCCCACUUGUGUUUCGUGGGUGUUUAUUUUCUAUCUUUGUGUUUGUCACCAGACAGGACUGUUUAGUUUCGUAUCUUUCUCGUUGUUAUUUUUGUUUUAGUGUUCUGAGUUGAAUAAAUAUCGUCAUGACCACGUACCACGCUACGCUUUGGUCCGAUCCUUGCGACUCUCCUCGUCAGAAGAAGAGGACGAGCGUUACAGGGUCCUUGGCUGGCGGUUGUGAGGUCAGUUGGACGUACUGUCAAAUUCUCUAAAAAUGACAUUGGAGGUGGCUUAUGGUAGAGAAAUUAACUUUCCCUUAAAAUAUUUGCCAUCUGUGGCGUUGUGUUGUGUGACCUGCACAUUUUAGAGUGGCCUUUUAUUGUCCCCAGCACAAGGUGCACCUAUGUAAUGAUCAUGGCGUUUAAUAUGAUACAGCUGUCAGGUGAAUGGAUUGUCUUGGCAAAGGAUAAAUGCUCAUUACAGGGAUGUAAACAAAUUUGUAACAAAAAUGUUAACGAAAAAAAGCUUUUUGUCCAUUUGGAACAUUUCUGGGAUCGUUUAUUUCAGCUCAUGAAAGGAUCAACGCUUUACACGGGCCGCAGACAUCGACCUUAGUGGGUUUAACAUGUCUCCUACCCUUUAUCUACAAUGACUGAAGUGGAUUUAACAAGUGACAUCAAUAAGGGAUCAUAGCUUUCACCUGGAUUCACCUGGUCAGUCUACAGUCUGUUAUGGAAAGAGCAGGUGUUCUUACAUUUUUUUGUACACGGUGUGUGUCCUUGAAUUUAUUAUUUAAAAAUCACACACAGAAGAAGUUAUAAGGGUAAUUUAGUUGCUAAUGUCAGCCUGCG
ensembl:lncRNA